CGGGGUCCAUACGGGAAUAUGAAGACGAUUGUGGUUGUCGAUGUUGAAGGUGAUAUCGAGAUUCUGGAUAUGGGAGUGGACCUGCAACUGAGAUCCGGAAUAAGGUUGAAGAGAGAGGAUCAUGGCCAUCAAAGGCGCGAUAGAAGAAGAGAAGAGGAGGAGAUGGUUGAGGUUGAAGGAGCAGUUGUAGACUUGGAUCGCAAGCGAAAGGAGCGACUCAACGAACGGAAGCUUGAUGGGUUGUAAUAAUGGAGGAAAAAAGAAGCCAUGUUUUUAGAAUUGUAAUGUGAUUAAGGGGAAUUAGGGAAUGGAGAAAGUGG
rnacentral:lncRNA from 1 species